rnacentral:rRNA from 1 species
AGAAUCAACGCUGGCGGCGUGCCUAACACAUGCAAGUCGCACGAGAAAGGGACUUCGGUCCUGAGUACAGUGGCGCACGGGUGAGUAACACGUGAAUCAUCUACCUUCGAGUGGGGAAUAACUGAGAGAAAUCUUAGCUAAUACCGCAUAACACUUACGAGUCAAAGCAGCAAUGCGCUUGGAGAGGAGUUCGCGGCCGAUUAGUUAGUUGGCGGGGUAAUGGCCCACCAAGACGAUGAUCGGUA